ACUGCUCUCUCGGUGUAUAUACUUAAACUGGAACCAGACAGAGAGCAUUAGCAGGACCGUGUGUAAGGAUUACACGCAAAUUUUUAUAUCAACUUCUUAUGUUU